rnacentral:rRNA from 1 species
GGUUAAGCGACUAAGCGUACACGGUGGAUGCCCUGGCAGUCAGAGGCGAUGAAGGACGUGCUAAUCUGCGAUAAGCGUCGGUAAGGUGAUAUGAACCGUUAUAACCGGCGAUUUCCGAAUGGGGAAACCCAGUGUGAUUCGUCACACUAUCAUUAACUGAAUCCAUAGGUUAAUGAGGCGAACCGGGGGAACUGAAACAUCUAAGUACCCCGAGGAAAAGAAAUCAACCGAGAUUCCCCCAGUAGCGGCGAGCGAACGGGGAGCAGCCCAGAGCCUGAAUCAGUGUGUGUGUUAGUGGAAGCGUCUGGAAAGGCGUGCGAUACAGGGUGACAGCCCCGUACACAAAAAUGCACAUACUGUGAGCUCGAUGAGUAGGGCGGGACACGUGGUAUCCUGUCUGAAUAUGGGGGGACCAUCCUCCAAGGCUAAAUACUCCUGACUGACCGAUAGUGAACCAGUACCGUGAGGGAAAGGCGAAAAGAACCCCGGCGAGGGGAGUGAAAAAGAACCUGAAACCGUGUACGUACAAGCAGUGGGAGCACGCUUAGGCGUGUGACUGCGUACCUUUUGUAUAAUGGGUCAGCGACUUAUAUUCUGUAGCAAGGUUAACCGAAUAGGGGAGCCGAAGGGAAACCGAGUCUUAACUGGGCGUUAAGUUGCAGGGUAUAGACCCGAAACCCGGUGAUCUAGCCAUGGGCAGGUUGAAGGUUGGGUAACACUAACUGGAGGACCGAACCGACUAAUGUUGAAAAAUUAGCGGAUGACUUGUGGCUGGGGGUGAAAGGCCAAUCAAACCGGGAGAUAGCUGGUUCUCCCCGAAAGCUAUUUAGGUAGCGCC